rnacentral:rRNA from 1 species
AACGGAGAGUUUGAUCCUGGCUCAGGAUGAACGCUGGCGGCGUGCCUAACACAUGCAAGUCGAACGGUUAAACCGCCCUCGGGCGGACAUAGAGUGGCGAACGGGUGAGUAACACGUGGCCAACCUGCCCCCCUCUCCGGGACAGCCGCGGGAAACCGCGAUUAAUACCGGAUGACGCCCGGGCCCCGCAUGGGGCCCGGGCCAAAGCCCAGGCGGAGGGGGAUGGGGCCGCGGCCCAUCAGGCAGACGGCGGGGUGACGGCCCACCGUGCUUUCGACGGGUAGCCGGGUUGAGAGACCGACCGGCCACAUUGGGACUGAGAUACGGCCCAGACUCCUACGGGAGG